rnacentral:rRNA from 1 species
AGAUUGAACGCUGGCGGCAUGCCUUACACAUGCAAGUCGAACGGCAGCACGGGGGCAACCCUGGUGGCGAGUGGCGAACGGGUGAGUAACAUAUCGGAACGUGCCCUGGAGUGGGGGAUAACUAGUCGAAAGACUAGCUAAUACCGCAUACGAUCUACGGAUGAAAGUGGGGGAUCGCAAGACCUCAUGCUCGUGGAGCGGCCGAUAUCUGAUUAGCUAGUUGGUGGGUAAAGCCUACAAGCAUCGAUCAGUAGCUGGUCUGAGAGGACGACCAGCCACACGUGGACUGAGACCACGGCCAGACUCCGUACGGGAGCAGCAGGUGGGUAAUUUGGACAAGUCGGGGGCCAACCGUGACUCCAGACAAUGCCGCGUGAGUAGAAGGACGUCCGUU